UUGACCUCGAAUCAGGUAGACGCGGAGCCGCUUCCCCC
rnacentral:rRNA from 1 species